GCUGUUACACUUAGUGGUGUCAGAGCUACGAUUUAGUCGGUUCUCAGGCUAAACGUAGCUGGUAUAGAGUAUAGAAUACAUGCCAUUUUAUAACAUGUGAUACUGUGAUAUCUUCUAACUUAAAUUAAUUAUGUUAAAAGAUGUCAUCCAACCGAGCUGAUUCCAAUUAGGUCGAAAGUAAUGUGCAAGCCUCCGUUCAAGAAGCAUCUAGUAGUGGGCCCG
rnacentral:lncRNA from 1 species